rnacentral:rRNA from 1 species
UACAGAGGUCCCAAGCGUUGUUCGGAUUUAUUGGGCGUAAAGGGUGCGUAGGCGGCGGAGUAAGUUGGGUGUGAAAUCCCGGGGCUCAACCUCGGAAUUGCAUUCAAUACUGCUUCGCUCGAGUACUGGAGAGGAGACUGGAAUUUACGGUGUAGCAGUGAAAUGCGUAGAUAUCGUAAGGAAGGCCGGUGGCGAAGGCGGGUCUCUGGGCCGAUACUGACGCUGAGGAGCGAAAGCGUGGGGAGCGAACAGG